UAAUUAUCACCAACCUCAGAUGACACUGAAGUGGCGUAUCUUUUGCUACCAUGAGGACUGCCCCACGCAGAAGUGCUUCUGAGAUAACAGCCUCAAGAGCAGCAGGUUUUGGACAAGGGUCAUGAUUAUCUUUUAUCUGACAGCACCAAGCAGAGUACAGAACACACAGUAGGCUCCCUUCAUUGAAAUAAAGAAGACAGGGACCAUUUUUGAGAAAAAGGAGAAGAUGGCAAGGAAAAACUCUCUCUUUCCCCUAGGAGCUCUGAAGAAGAAAGGGCUUGGAGAGAGGAAGACCCAGCUGAGAUCCCUCUGAAACUGUGAUAUACGACAUCACUGCCUCAGGACCUGUCCAACUGUCAGACAGCAGGAAGCUGCCCCACUCGUGAACAUCUAUUCGACUCUCCAAGUCCGGGGAGUCUACCUGGCACACAGGAGGCGUGACUCACAUGUGGCUAUGGCAGAUCUCCUCCCUCCUCCCAAGGCUUACCAGGCAACCUUGGCCUAAAGCACAGAAUGUUCUCGGUAAACAUAAAGGACCCUAAAAAUAUUAACAGUGAUUGUUAUUGUUGUUAUUAAAUCUACAGUUUGGAGCAGUAACCACAAAAUUGGUGACUUCCACAAGUCCAAUUAUGACCACUACAAAGUGGACAAAAUAAAACUUUUCUCCUAGGAAUCUUAA